rnacentral:rRNA from 1 species
AGAGUUUGAUCAUGGCUCAGGAUGAACGCUGGCGGCGUGCCUAAUACAUGCAAGUCGAGCGAGAAUCAGUGAAGUAGAGAUUCGUCAAAGCGGAUCUGAGGAAAGCGGCGGACGGGUGAGUAACGCGUAGGCAACCUGCCCUUAGCAGAGGGAUAGCCAUUGGAAACGAUGAUUAAAGCCUCAUAAUGCUGUUUUAACACAUGUUAUGACAGCCAAAGAUUUAUCGGCUAAGGAUGGGCCUGCGUCUGAUUAACUAGUUGGUGAGGUAACGGCUCACCAAGGUGACGAUCAGUAGCCGACCUGAGAGGGUGAUCGGCCACAUUGGAACUGAGACACGGUCCAAACUUCUACGGAAGGCAGCAGUAAGGAAUCUUGCACAAUGGGGGAAACCCUGAUGCAGCAACGCCGCGUGAACGAUGAAGGCCUUAGGGUUGUAAAGUUCUGAUCUGUGGGAAGAAGAAGUGACGGUACCACAGGAGAAAGCCCCGGCUAAAUACGUGCCAGCAGCCGCGGUAAUACGUAUGGGGCAAGCGUUAUCCGGAAUUAUUGGGCGUAAAGAGUGCGUAGGUGGUUACCUAAGCGCAAGGUUUAAUCUUGAGGCUCAACCUCAUUCUGCCUUGCGAACUGGGCUACUUGAGUGCAGGAGGGGAAAGCGGAAUUCCCAGUGUAGCGGUGAAAUGCGUAGAUAUUGGGAAGAACACCGGUGCGAAGGCGGCUUUCUGGACUGUAACUGACACUGAGGCACGAAAGCGUGGGGAGCAAACAGGAUUAGAUACCCUGGUAGUCC